rnacentral:tRNA from 1 species
UCUCUGGUAGUAUAUCGGUUAGUACACGCGCCCGUCAUCUGGUGUAUAGUUAUCCACGCGUGAAAGCUGGGUUCGACUCUCAGCCAGAGAG